UACGGAGGAUGCGAGCGUUAUCCGGAUUUAUUGGGUUUAAAGGGAGCGUAGGCGGGUUGUUAAGUCAGUUGUGAAAGUUUACGGCUCAACCGUAAAAUUGCAGUUGAUACUGGCAUCCUUGAGUACAGUAGAGGUAGGCGGAAUUCGUGGUGUAGCGGUGAAAUGCUUAGAUAUCACGAAGAACUCCGAUUGCGAAGGCAGCCUGCUGGACUGUAACUGACGCUGAUGCUCGAAAGUGUGGGUAUCAAACAGG
rnacentral:rRNA from 1 species